rnacentral:rRNA from 1 species
AGAGUUUGAUCAUGGCUCAGAUUGAACGCUGGCGGCAGGCCUAACACAUGCAAGUCGAGCGGUAGAGAGAAGCUUGCUUCUCUUGAGAGCGGCGGACGGGUGAGUAAUACCUAGGAAUCUGCCUGAUAGUGGGGGAUAACGUUCGGAAACGGACGCUAAUACCGCAUACGUCCUACGGGAGAAAGCAGGGGACCUUCGGGCCUUGCGCUAUCAGAUGAGCCUAGGUCGGAUUAGCUAGUUGGUGAGGUAAUGGCUCACCAAGGCUACGAUCCGUAACUGGUCUGAGAGGAUGAUCAGUCACACUGGAACUGAGACACGGUCCAGACUCCUACGGGAGGCAGCAGUGGGGAAUAUUGGACAAUGGGCGAAAGCCUGAUCCAGCCAUGCCGCGUGUGUGAAGAAGGUCUUCGGAUUGUAAAGCACUUUAAGUUGGGAGGAAGGGCAUUAACCUAAUACGUUAGUGUCUUGACGUUACCGACAGAAUAAGCACCGGCUAACUCUGUGCCAGCAGCCGCGGUAAUACAGAGGGUGCAAGCGUUAAUCGGAAUUACUGGGCGUAAAGCGCGCGUAGGUGGUUUGUUAAGUUGAAUGUGAAAUCCCCGGGCUCAACCUGGGAACUGCAUCCAAAACUGGCAAGCUAGAGUAUGGUAGAGGGUAGUGGAAUUUCCUGUGUAGCGGUGAAAUGCGUAGAUAUAGGAAGGAACACCAGUGGCGAAGGCGACUACCUGGACUGAUACUGACACUGAGGUGCGAAAGCGUGGGGAGCAAACAGGAUUAGAUACCCUGGUAGUCCACGCCGUAAACGAUGUCAACUAGCCGUUGGGAGUCUUGAACUCUUAGUGGCGCAGCUAACGCAUUAAGUUGACCGCCUGGGGAGUACGGCCGCAAGGUUAAAACUCAAAUGAAUUGACGG